CACGUAGGGCGCAAGCGUUGUCCGGAAUUAUUGGGCGUAAAGAGCUCGUAGGCGGCCCGGUAAGUCCGCUGUGAAAGCCGGGGGCUCAACCCUCGAAUGCCGGUGGAUACUGUCGGGCUAGAGUGCGGAAGAGGCGAGUGGAAUUCCUGGUGUAGCGGUGAAAUGCGCAGAUAUCAGGAGGAACACCGAUUGCGAAGGCAGCUCGCUGGGACGUAACUGACGCUGAGACGCGAAAGCGUGGGGAGCAAACAGG
rnacentral:rRNA from 1 species